rnacentral:lncRNA from 1 species
AGUGAACUGGUCCCCUUAGCAGCUGACCUCCUCCUCCAGCCCUGUGGCUGCCUCCUCUCCAACAGGGACCCUCCUGGUGGGUAUCCGGAACAGUGCCUUAGUGUUCCGCAAAGGGGAGAGGGAAAAAGAGAGGGCUGUCUCCCAGAAGGGACACCAUCACCAACCCAUCAGGCUGGCAUGCACUCUCAAAUCUACUGCCCCUAGCAACAGGAUGCAGUUCAUGUUCACUAAAAUGACUUAUGAGCUGCUUGCAGCGGGCUGAGUGUUGACGCUGCUCCCUGCCACUGGAAAAAAAGAUAUGCCCACAUCCAGAUCUCAGGAACUCAUGGAUGUGACCUCAUUUGGAAAAGGGGUCUUUGCAGACGUAAUUAAGUUAAGGAUCUUGAGAUGCAGUCAUCUUGGAUUAUCUGUGUGGUCCCUAAAUCCAAUGACAAGUGUCCUUACAAUACACGCAGAGAGGAGAAGCCUGACAGGAGAAGCAGAGAUAAUGACUGGAGACAGGGAUUGGAGAGAUGCAGCCACAAGCCAAGGGAUGCUAACAAGCACCAGAAGCUGGAGGAGGAAGGAAGGAUUUUCCCCCGGAGCCUGCAAAGGGAGUGCAGCCCCGCCCACACUUUGACUUUGGACUUCUGGUCUCUGGAAUGCUUCGAUAAGAAAUGGUUGUUUGAAGCUACCCAGUUUGUGGUAGUUUGUCACAGCAGCCACAGCAAACAAAUCCAGUGCCCUCCACCCUUUUCACCCUGAAACCGCAUGAGGACUGGGUGGAGUAGGCAGGCAGUCUUGGCCAUCCCCAUUUUAGAGAGGAGGGGACACUGAGGUUCAGAGAGGCAGAAGGAGCUGCUUGAGCCACAUAGCCAGUGAGCUUCACCAGUGUCAAGCCUGGAACCUGGCUCUCCUGAGUCCUCCUCCAUGCACUGUCCUUUCUGGAACAUUCUGCCAGCCACCCUGCACCAGGCACUGGUGGCCUGUGAGCUGUGAUUGUCUCUGUAACCAGGACAGGUUUGCAGGGUCCCAAAGCAGCUCCUCCCAAUACCAAGCAAAUGGCUGGUGGGCAUGAGGGCCCAUCUGAGAACAUGGGAAGGAGCAGCUGUCACCGGGGAUCAGGCCCGCCUGACUUCAUUAGCACC